ensembl:lncRNA
AGCACACAGCAGGACUUCAGAAACCACCAGAUGAAGGAAGGAGCCUCUACCAGCUGUGGGAGACUCCAUUAUGCAGCCUCAAGCCCAAUCACCUGGGCAGCCUGGUGUGUCCUCCCAAGAUGCGGCCCUGUAUGUGUUCCUAUCCUGGGUUAUUUGUCUGUUUCUUGGAGCUGACUGAUAGGAACUUUCCACUUGGACUUUUGAAGAGCCCCUUGGCAAAGCCAAGUGGAAUCUCAUCCUGAGUGCCCCCAAAGAGCCGUAGACCUGGCUGUUUCCUUGUUCCUCUUUCCCCCAGGGGACCAGGGUCCAUCCCCCCCAUCUCCUCCACCCCCACAACACCUCUGCCAUGGAGCACAUGGCCCAGGAACAUCAAAUUCUUCUCCUCAGGAAGCCACUGUCACACUUCUGUCUGCUGCACUGGGGAAACACUGAGAAUCAGACAAGCAAAAGUCUCUGCACCUGUGGCGCUGACAGUUGUCACAACUACUUAACUACUUUGUAGCAUGAACACAGCCAAAGACAAGAUGAAAAUAAAUGGGCGUGGCUGUGCUCCAACACAGCUUUAUUUAUG